AACGCAUAUUGCGCCCGAGGUUUCGACCGAGGGCAUGUCUGGUCGAGCGCCACAAACUCUUGCGCCCCCCGUCUGCCGGUUGGGACAAUGGAGGUCUCGAGAUGGGGAGGGACAUGCUCGUCUUGCGCAUCUGGUCGCGGAGUCGAGUGAAAUGAAAUUCCGCGGAAGGCGAUCCGUGCGGUCACCAAAUCCGACGUCGGUACGUGAGGGACCGACCUUCUGCGAUGUGAAAGCUGCGUCAAAAAUUGCAUGGAGCCUCAGGGUCGCUCCCGCGGUGCCAUCGCGGUGUCGUCGACGGGGGACACGGCGUGUUGUUGUGCGGCGGGAGCGCGCCCUUUGGGGAAGUGCUUGAAGCUGGCCUCGACUCAGGCAGGAUCACCCGCUGAAUUUAA
rnacentral:misc_RNA from 1 species